UCAAUCCUGAUGUGUACGUUGUAAUUAUUAAUGUUUUGACCGAACAUUAUAAUUUCGGGAGCUUAAAGUUUCUGUAUGGCUUGCAUGCCUUACAUAAGGAAGCAAAAGAUAUGGAACAGGGCACCCACCUGCUAAGAGCGGGUUCAAAACUUUCUAUGAAGACGGCACGAUCGGGAUUAAA
rnacentral:other from 1 species